UACGUAGGGUGCGAGCGUUGUCCGGAAUUAUUGGGCGUAAAGGGCUCGUAGGCGGUCUGUUGCGUCGGGAGUGAAAACUCAGGGCUUAACCCUGAGCCUGCUUCCGAUACGGGCAGACUAGAGGUAUGCAGGGGGAGAACGGAAUUCCUGGUGUAGCGGUGAAAUGCGCAGAUAUCAGGAGGAACACCGGUGGCGAAGGCGGUUCUCUGGGCAUUACCUGACGCUGAGGAGCGAAAGUGUGGGGAGCGAACAGG
rnacentral:rRNA from 1 species